ensembl:lncRNA
AGAGUUACUGCUGUAGAUUCUUAAACAGAAGACAGGAGGGUAUGUGAGGAGGGUACGAGCAGGCACCUCCUAGGAGCUGAACACGGAGGACCAGAGGCUCAACCCCUAACCCUGCUCUCUCAGGCAUCACAAAGUCUACCUGGAAACAGAGCAAGCACCUCCCAAGUUAGCCUGCAGAGAGUGGUCACAUGACCAGGAGCUGGCCAAUCAGUACAGCCCAGAGAUUGGCUAAGGUCUGGGCAAGUGACCAGUGAGGUCUCAUGGGUUGGUCUUAGGGGUAGAACCUUGGGGGAGGAGAAGCUCCGUGACUGUUGGGCUGCUGAGACAGUUGGUGCCCACGGCGCCAUCUUGAAGGGAAAAUCCACUUGAGAGGGAGUAGGCACAGCCAGGAGGUCGGGGCAGGCAACUCCUGGGGACAUCGUCCAGCACCCAGGCAUGCCAGAGAUCUUUCCAGAAUGCGCAGAGAGCACAGUGUGGAACAGGAUGUGUCCGUCUUCCCUUCCUCACUUGCCUUGGCUCCCAGCUCGUGGGCUCUCUCCUCUGCAUCCUGGCUCCGUGGCUGCUAUAGGAAGAACCAAGCUGGAGGAAGUCGGCGGCUCCAUUCCCAAAGGCACAGAGGCCACGGGCCCAGGAGGAUGGAGACCCCGGCCUGCUCCACUCGCUGCUGGGCCCUGGUGUUUGGAUCUGGCUGGCAGCAGCAGGGCCUCCGUGAGCAAGGGCGGCAGACCACAAAGACCACAUCUCAGGUGGAGCCAGCAGCAUCCAGACCCACCCGGCCGCACCUUGAAGGGGAGUGUUUUCCUGGACCAUUUGGAAGAGGUCCUCGUGGACGCCUGGUAUUUGGUUCACUACUGGCUCUCUGCAAUCGAGUUUCUGUCUUGUAUCUGUUUUGCCCAUCUUUUCCUAUGUUCUUUUUGCUAGUUUUUACUUAUUCUGCUUUAGUGUACAUUGUAAUAAACUGAUGGAUUCAGGACCUGUUACCUCACUCGGCUUCUCAUUGGGUUAAAGGAUAAAAGGCCUCACCCUUCUUGGAACAGCUAGAAUCCUUGAGGUUAAAACAGUCUCUGGGGAUUGGGGAAACCAGACUGUCCUGGCUGGGCCAGUGUGACAGAGGGUUGGGGGGGAGCAGCUGCCAUCUUGGAAGACAGAGAAGCACUGCCCGGAGCUCAGAUCCCAGUGUGACCCGGGAGGGAGCAGGCCUGGGAGGGCUCCAGGGGCCGAGGGGACUGACUCCUCCCUGAGCAGGCAGCCCUCACGCACUUCCCCUGGGCAGUCCCCGUCACCUCAGACUGCUCCUCCUUGCUCGUUGCUUGUCCGGUAAGACGGAGGUUAGGGUCCAGACGCUCAGGACUGAGAAGGACUCUUGCUCCUGCCUCUGAGGGCCCACUGGAAUAGCGCAAGGUGUCUCCUUCCCUUGUUCCUCUAUGCAGAAAUGAUACAGAGGAAUAUACAGCUUGCCGCUUGUUACCCCAAAAGUGGAUGAGGUUAGGCAUGACCCUGUGCCAUGCUUCGUUCACCUAAUGAUUUGUUCUGGAACUUUCAGCACACCAAGAGCACCCUCUGUUUCCCUCCACAGCAAAGCUGCAGUCUGCAGGGCAUGUGCCACAGUGCCCCCUUCAGGCUGCUUCCUAGCACGGGGCGGCCCCAGGGAGCCCCUCUGCCACAUCCCCCACCCCCCAUCCCCCCAGCCUUCCUGGUCCCCUGGUACCUACCUUGAGGCCUUCCAGGUACAGCCUCCCAGGCCAAGGCACUGAUGGCCCAGGGUUCUGGCUCAGAGACGCCCCUCCCCUUGGCCCAGUCAGUGUUCCCGGUGAAGACUCCGCUACUCAACCACCCUCUUUUCCAUGGGUGGGCUGGGAGGGCAGGGGUCCCAGGCUGCACCACUGUGAGGGUGAUCCGCCUUCUGGUUCCUGCCACACAAAAACCCACCAGUGACACUCAGAGGUUCCACCAUCUCAGAGA